rnacentral:rRNA from 1 species
CAGUAGCCACGGUAAUACGGAGGGCGCGAGCGUUACCCGGAUUUACUGGGCGUAAAGGGCGUGUAGGCGGCCUGGGGCGUCCCAUGUGAAAGGCCACGGCUCAACCGUGGAGGAGCGUGGGAUACGCUCAGGCUAGAGGGUGGGAGAGGGUGGUGGAAUUCCCGGAGUAGCGGUGAAAUGCGCAGAUACCGGGAGGAACGCCGAUGGCGAAGGCAGCCACCUGGUCCACUUCUGACGCUGAGGCGCGAAAGCGUGGGGAGCAAACCGGAUUAGAUACCCGAGUAGUCCCUGUCUCUUAUAA